rnacentral:rRNA from 1 species
CCUACGGGAGGCAGCAGUGGGGAAUCUUAGACAAUGGGGGCAACCCUGAUCUAGCCAUGCCGCGUGAGUGAUGAAGGCCUUAGGGUCGUAAAGCUCUUUCGCCUGUGAUGAUAAUGACAGUAGCAGGUAAAGAAACCCCGGCUAACUCCGUGCCAGCAGCCGCGGUAAUACGGAGGGGGUUAGCGUUGUUCGGAAUUACUGGGCGUAAAGCGCGCGUAGGCGGAUUAGAAAGUUGGGGGUGAAAUCCCGGGGCUCAACCCCGGAACUGCCUCCAAAACUGCUAGUCUAGAGUUCGAGAGAGGUGAGUGGAAUUCCGAGUGUAGAGGUGAAAUUCGUAGAUAUUCGGAGGAACACCAGUGGCGAAGGCGGCUCACUGGCUCGAUACUGACGCUGAGGUGCGAAAGUGUGGGGAGCAAACAGGAUUAGAUACCCUGGUAGUCCACACCGUAAACGAUGAAUGCCAGUCGUCGGAUAGUAUACUAUUCGGUGACACACCUAACGGAUUAAGCAUUCCGCCUGGGGAGUACGGUCGCAAGAUUAAAACUCAAAGGAAU